AAUAGAUACCCUGGUAGUCCACGCCGUAAAACGAUGGAUACUAGCUGUUUGAGCGCAAGUUUGAGUGGCUAAGCGAAAGUGAUAAGUAUCCCACCUGGGGAGUACGGGCGCAAGCCUGAAACUCAAAGGAAUUGACGGGGGCCCGCACAAGCGGUGGAGCAUGUGGUUUAAUUCGAUGAUACGCGAGGAACCUUACCAGGGCUUAAAUGUAGAUUGACGUAUUUGGAAACAGAUAUUUCUUCGGACAAUUUACAAGGUGCUGCAUGGUUGUCGUCAGCUCGUGCCGUGAGGUGUCAGGUUAAGUCCUAUAACGAGCGCAACCCCGUGUUGUUAGUUGCCAGCGAGUAAUGUCGGGAACUCUAGCAAGACUGCCAGUGUAAACUGUGAGGAAGGUGGGGAUGACGUCAAAUCAUCACGGCCCUUACGUCCUGGGCCACACACGUGCUACAAUGGCCGGUACAGAGAGCAGGCCACUUAGCGAUAAGGAGCGAAUCUAUAAAAGCCGGUNACAGUUCGGAUCGGAGUCUGA
rnacentral:rRNA from 1 species